CAGCCGGCUGUUUUCCCGCUGCGCACCGCUGCUGUGUUUUCCAUAGACAGUUGAGCGCUUUUCGGCGGGUUCCGUUAAAAUGGCGCUGCUGUUGCCAGGAGCUGAACCCCAACAGACGAAGUGACAGCGGUUAAAAACACACCGUGGACCGUUCCGCAAGCACGGAAGGUACUAUGUACGAGAACAAUGGCGACGCUUGAUCAGAAAUCCCCCAACGUGCUUCUGCAGAAUCUGUGCUGUAAGAUUACGGGCAAGAGUGAAGCUGAUGUAGCUCUUCAGUUCCAGUAUGCCGUGAGGGUCAUCGGAAGUAAUUACGCACCCACAAUUGAACGGGAUGAGUUUUUGGUGUCUGAGAAGAUUAAAAAAGAAUUGCUGAAACAAAGACGGGAAGCAGAUGCUGCCCUUUUCUCAGAGUUGCACAGAAAGCUUCAGACCCAGGGUGUACUGAAACAUAGAUGGUCCAUCUUAUACCUCCUGCUAAGCCUCUGUGAGGACCCAAGGAAGCCGUCUAACCGUGUUCCUGUGUGUAGUUAUGGAGCUCUGCUUGCCCAGGGUUUGCCUCGUGAUGUCCACUCCACCCCGUUUUACUACGCCCGUCCCCAGAGCCUCCUGCUCAGCUACCCAGAGCGCUCAGCCACUGCCCAUAACUCCAGCAUGGCUACCAGUGGCAUCGGCAGUAUGGGAGCAUUCUUGAUCAAUGGGCCUGGGCCGACCCCUCCAUCUCUGCUCACUGGACCUGGACCCCAAGCUGUCGCUGAGUCUAUGAGAGGGUCUCAUCUACCAUGGACUCUCCCGGUCUCCAGUUCACCUUCUGGGGCAGCUGCUGCCCCUCGUCCCCCGAGUGGACCCUCUUCCAGUCCAGCACCCAGACUCCCGCAGAGACCAAGACGGGAUGGAGAUGGCAGUGCUGACAUCGGGGAGGCUACUCUCGUCCGAGACAUUCUUUAUGUUUUCCAGGGAAUAGAUGGAAAGUUCAUCAAGAUGUGCAGCCCAGAAAACUGCUACAAAAUUGAUUCAAAGGUGCCUCUAUGUAAGUCUCUAAGAGACACUAGCAGCAGGCUAGCAGAGCUCGGCUGGCUCCACAAUAAGAUUAGAAAAUAUACAGAUUCCCACAGCCUGGAUCGAGCCUUUGGCCUAGUCGGGCAGAGUUUUUGUGCUGCAUUGCAUCAAGAGCUGAAGGAGUACUACAGAUUGUUGUCUGUACUUCAUGCACAGCUCCAGGUGGAAGACGAUCAGGGUGUAAACAUGAGUGUGGAUAACAGUCUGACUCUAAAGAGACUGCUGGUGUGGACCUACGACCCCAAGGUUCGGCUGAAAACACUAGCCGCACUGGUGGACUACUGCCAAGGGCGUAAAGGAGGAGAGUUGGCCUCAGCUGUACAUGCUUAUGAAAAGACGGGUGACCCUCACAUGAGAGCAUUGAUCCAGCACAUCCUUGGUCUGGUGUCCCACCCCAUUCUUAACUUCCUGUAUCGCUGGAUCUACGACGGGGAGCUGGAGGAUACGUACCAUGAGUUCUUUGUAGCCUCAGACCCAGCGGUGAAGACAGACAGACUGUGGCAUGACAAGUACUCUCUGAGGAAGAGUAUGAUCCCCUCCUUCAUCACCAUGGAUCAAGCCAGGAAGGUUCUACUCAUUGGCAAAUCCAUCAACUUCCUGCAUCAGGUAUGCCACGACAGGACGCCGCCGGGAAAGAUCAUGCCUGCCUCCAAAUCCACCGACUCUCCCAAAGAUGCGGCAGUGUUGUUCACUGAUCUGGAAGGGGCCUUUCAGAGUAAGAUUGAUGCUGCAUAUUUUGAGACCAGUAAGUAUCUGUUGGAUGUGUUGAAUAAAAACUACCAGCUGCUGGAGCAUCUUCAGGCCAUGAGGAGAUACCUGCUGCUGGGCCAGGGAGACUUCAUCCGACACCUCAUGGACCUCCUCAAGCCAGAGUUGGCAAGGGCUGCCACCACUCUUUACCAACACAAUCUAACCGGUAUCCUGGAGACUGCUGUCAGAGCAACCAAUGCCCAGUUUGACAGUCCGGAGAUACUGAAGAGGCUUGAUGUCCGGCUACUAGAGGUUUCUCCUGGAGACACUGGUUGGGAUGUCUUCAGUUUGGAUUAUCAUGUAGAGGGGCCCAUUGCCACAGUGUUCACCCGUGAGUGCAUGAGCCACUACCUGCGAGUGUUUAACUUCCUGUGGAGGGCUAAAAGAAUGGAGUACAUCCUCACAGAUAUAUGGAAGGGUCAAAUGUGUAACUCCAAACUGUUGAAGAGCAUGCCGGAGCUCUCCGGUGUGCUGCACCAAUGUCACCUUCUCGCUUCCGAGAUGGUUCACUUCAUCCAUCAGAUGCAGUAUUACAUCACAUUUGAGGUGUUGGAGUGCUCUUGGGAUGAGCUGUGGAAUAAGGUCCACCAGGCUCAGGAUCUGGAUCACAUUAUAGCAGCUCAUGACGUUUUCCUGGACACCAUCAUUUCUCGCUGCCUGCUGGAUGUGAACAACAGGUCUCUGUUGAAUCAGUUGCGCGCGGUGUUUGAUCAGAUCAUUGAGUUCCAGAAUGCUCAGGACACUCUGUACCGCUCAGCUCUAGAAGAGUUGCAACUGCGCAUCCAAUUCGAGGACAAGAAGAGACAGAGGGAAGAAAUGGGCGAGUGGGGUGUAACAGCAGAGCAGGAGGCCGAGGAGAACAGACGUGUGCAGGAGUUUAAAGACACCAUACCAAAAAUGUGCUCUCAGCUCAGAUUACUCACACACUUCUAUCAGGGCAUAGUGCAGGAGUUCCUGUGGCUGCUAAUGACCUGCUCUGAUGAGAGUCUUCAGUUCCUCAGUUUCCGUCUGGACUUCAACGAGCAUUAUAAGGCCCGUGAUCCGCGCCUGCGGCCCUCGCUAGGGGCCACUAGAGGGAGACGAAGCUCCAACAUCUGACCUUGCAGACUUUGGGAAAGUUGAUCUUAAGUGGUUGCUGUCAAGAGACUGUUUAUUAAUAGAGCUACUCAGAACUUUUCUGGUGCUCUGUAAGAAACUCAUAUAACAGGGAAACUGUUUAUAGAAAAUCCUAUUCUAGUGUCAUAACCCCAAUAAUUUCAGUCUGUUGUGGGUUUUUUGUUUGUUUUCUUCAGUUAAUGUGUGAAUAUUAGUUUCAGUUUUGUUAAGAUUUGUGUUUAUGUUUACAUUUUUGGUAAUAUUUAAGUCUAUUUGUUAUUUACGAUUCUUGAUUUUCUUCUAAUGCCCUUUCUUUUUUCACUUCAAAGUGAGUUUGCUUGUCUUAAAGUCUCCUGAUGUGGGAAAAC